AUGCCGACGUCGGUACCCAACGACGUCGUCUCCGAGAUACUCUCCUGGGCGCCGGUAAAGUCGGCGUGCCGGUUCCGGUGCGCGUCCACGGGGUGGCGGGCGCUCAUCUCCGACCCCGCGUUCGUCGCGGCGCACAAGGCCCGCACGGAGCCGCAGCUCCUCAUCGUCGCCAACUCCUUCCAUGGCGUGGCCAGCGGAGGGCGGCGCCGCCGCCGUGACCUGCGGCUGCUGGACACGGACGGCAGCGUCGUGAGGGUGGUCAAGUCCGCAGGUGACCUAUGGACCAUCACCUCCGGACCUCGCGGCCCCGUCUGCGCCACCCGCGUCGGCGGCGUCCUCAACGUGAUCGAUCUGGCCACCGGGGACGUGCUCGUGACCUCCACGGAGAUGGACGACGGCGGAGCGUCCUACGUCUUUGGCAUCGGCUACGCUGCCCCGUCAGGCAAGUUCAAGGUGGUCCGCCUCACGAGCAUGUACAGUUAUGCUGAUCCACCGGAGUACACCUGCGAUGUUCUCACGUUGGAGGACGGCGCCAGAACAUGGUGGCGGAGGGAGUCACCACCAAUUAAAGACCGUGUCCGCUUUCACAAAAACUCUGUGGUCACCAUAGAUGGUGUGCUCUACUUCCUUUACACUUACAGCUCGGUGCCACCGCAGGUGGGCGGGUACUGUGUCCUCUGCCUUGACCUCGAGACCGAGGAAUGGAAGAGGUCCAUCAAGGCCCCGGUGAGGCUACAAGAGUUGAGAUCAGAGACCCGUAUGGUCGAGCUCAAUGGCACCCUUUGUAUGGUUCAGCCAGAGGGACGUGGGACCAAACAUGCUUGCACGACCAUAUGGCUGCUGACUGAUUUGGCCGAGGGCACUUGGGUCGAGGCGUAUAUGAUCCCGAUGGCUCGAACCAUUGAUCUAGUGAUACCUUUCAGGGUGAUGCAUCAUGGUGGAAAGCUAAUGUGCUAUUGCUUUCUUAAUGGACCAACUCCGACGCUACAAGUCUAUGAUCCGCUCAAUGGGACAUGCACACACUUGGCGGAUCUUCCAGGUAACCAUUUGGGUGACGUUGCUUUUUGUGACUUGCACUUGGAAUGUUAUAUACGUUCCACCUAA
rnacentral:rRNA from 1 species